CCUACGGGUGGCAGCAGUGGGGAAUAUUGGACAAUGGGCGAAAGCCUGAUCCAGCCAUGCCGCGUGUGUGAAGAAGGCCUUCGGGUUGUAAAGCACUUUCAGUGGGGAAGAAAGCCUUGGGGCUAAUACCCUCGAGGAAGGACAUCACCCACAGAAGAAGCACCGGCUAACUCCGUGCCAGCAGCCGCGGUAAUACGGAGGGUGCGAGCGUUAAUCGGAAUUACUGGGCGUAAAGCGCGCGUAGGCGGUCUGAUAAGCCGGUUGUGAAAGCCCCGGGCUCAACCUGGGAACGGCAUCCGGAACUGUCAGGCUAGAGUGCAGGAGAGGAAGGUAGAAUUCCCGGUGUAGCGGUGAAAUGCGUAGAGAUCGGGAGGAAUACCAGUGGCGAAGGCGGCCUUCUGGACUGAUACUGACGCUGAGGUGCGAAAGCGUGGGUAGCAAACAGGAUUAGAUACCCUAGUAGUC
rnacentral:rRNA from 1 species